GCGGAAAGGCCCCUUCGGGGGUACUCGAGCGGCGAACGGGUGAGUAACACGUGGGUAAUCUGCCCAGGACACAGGAAUAACCAGUGGAAACGCUGGCUAAUGCCUGAUGACGUGCAGUCCUCUCGGGGAUCUGUACCAAAGGUAGCUUCGGCCUCCGGUCCUGGAUGAGCCCGCGGCCCAUUAGCUUGUUGGCGGGGUAACGGCCCACCAAGGCGACGAUGGGUAGCUGGUCUGAGAGGACGAUCAGCCACACUGGGACUGAGACACGGCCCAGACUCCUACGGGAGGCAGCAGUGGGGAAUCUUGCGCAAUGGGCGAAAGCCUGACGCAGCAACGCCGCGUGCGGGAAGAAGGCCUUCGGGUUGUAAACCGCUUUCAGCAGGGAAGAAGGCGAGCGGGUUAAUAGCCCGUCAGCUGACGGUACCUGCAGAAGAAGGUCCGGCUAACUACGUGCCA
rnacentral:rRNA from 1 species